GUGUGCAAAGCCUGCGAGGGGAGAUGCUUGUAGCGUUGUACAGAGUGAAAUGCUCUCACUAAAGCAGGAGGAGGACAGCUCUCCACAGAACAUAUACAUCUUGCCUGUGUUCUAAGAAAUGACACCUGGCUCCCCGCUGACACCUGGGUCACUUCCUGAUUCAUCAGUGACUGCUUACAAAUUCCAGCUUCCAACAAGCACAAGCCCGUCUGCUGUGAUAUUGUUGGAAGCCAUAUAUUUCCCAGCAAGCUUUGAAUGUCCUUGAAGUUCAUCCUCAUCUCUAAGGUUCGGAAAACAUGCCACACUGCAGUGAACUAUUUGAGAGAAGAGAAACCAUGAUCUAAGAUGAAUAAGAACUCUGAUUUUAUGUUUUGAGGCCUUUUUAUAUCUUUUGUAAG